rnacentral:rRNA from 1 species
UACGUAGGCAGCAAGCGUUGUUCGGAAUUACUGGGCGUAAAGAGUGUGUAGGUGGUGCUCCAAGUCUGUUGUGAAAUCUCCCGGCUUAACUGGGAGGGUGCGGCGGAAACUGGAAUGCUUGAGGAUGGGAGAGGAAAGCGGAAUUCCUGGUGUAGCGGUGAAAUGCGUAGAUAUCAGGAGGAACACCCGUGGUGUAGACAGCUUUCUGGACCAUUUCUGACACUGAGACACGAAAGCGUGGGUAGCAAACAG